GACGAACGCUGGCGGCGUGCCUAAUACAUGCAAGUAGAACGCUGAAGGAGGAGCUUGCUUCUCUGGAUGAGUUGCGAACGGGUGAGUAACGCGUAGGUAACCUGCCUGGUAGCGGGGGAUAACUAUUGGAAACGAUAGCUAAUACCGCAUAAUAGCAGUUGUUGCAUGACAACUGUUUGAAAGGUGCAAUUGCACCACUACCAGAUGGACCUGCGUUGUAUUAGCUAGUUGGUGGGGUAACGGCUCACCAAGGCGACGAUCCAUAGCCGACCUGAGAGGGUGAUCGGCCACACUGGGACUGAGACACGGCCCAGACUCCUACGGGAGGCAGCAGUAGGGAAUCUUCGGCAAUGGACGGAAGUCUGACCGAGCAACGCCGCGUGAGUGAAGAAGGUUUUCGGAUCGUAAAGCUCUGUUGUAAGAGAAGAACGAGUGUGAGAGUGGAAAGUUCACACUGUGACGGUAUCUUACCAGAAAGGGACGCCGAACUACGU
rnacentral:rRNA from 1 species